GACGAACGCUGGCGGCGUGCCUAAUACAUGCAAGUCGAACGCAGUGGGGACGGGUGAGUAACACGGGGGUAACCUCCCAUGAGAGGGGAUAACACUUGGAAACAGGUGCUAAACCGAUACUGAUGGAUGAACCCGCGGUGCAUUAGCUAGUUGGGGAGGUAACGGCUCACCAAGUCCACGAUCCAUAGCCGCCCGGGGAGGGUGAUCGGCCACACUGGACCUGAGACACGGCCCAGACUCCUACGGGAGCCAGCAGAAGGGAAUCUGCGGAAAUGGACGAAAGUCUGACCGAGCAACGCCGCGUGAGUGAAGAAGGUUUUCGGACCUUAAACCUUUGUUGUUAGAGAAGCGGUAUCUAACCAGAAAGCCACGGCUAACUACGUGCCAGCCGCCGCGGUAAUAC
rnacentral:rRNA from 1 species